CCUACGGGAGGCAGCAGUGGGGGAUAUUGCACAAUGGGGGGAACCCUGAUGCAGCGACGCCGCGUGAGCGAAGAAGUACCUCGGUAUGUAAAGCUCUAUCAGCAGGGAAGAAAAUGACGGUACCUGACUAAGAAGCCCCGGCUAAAUACGUGCCAGCAGCCGCGGUAAUACGUAUGGGGCAAGCGUUAUCCGGAUUUACUGGGUGUAAAGGGAGCGCAGGCGGCCUGCCAAGUCUGGUGUGAAAACCCGGGGCCCAACCCCGGGCCUGCAUUGGAAACUGGCGGGCUGGAGUACUGGAGAGGCAGACGGAAUUCCUAGUGUAGCGGUGAAAUGCGUAGAUAUUAGGAGGAACACCAGUGGCGAAGGCGGUCUGCUGGACAGCAACUGACGCUGAGGCGCGAAAGCGUGGGGAGCAAACAGGAUUAGAUACCCGAGUAGUC
rnacentral:rRNA from 1 species